UGAUGAUGCAGUGGUCUGUUUCUCUCUCUCUGACUGGCGGUCGUGAUGUGCAGGAUAAACCAAGCAGCACUUCUCUUCAUUCAGCUUUUAGUGAUGUGUCAUGUCUUUGCAGAAAACCACAGGUCUACCUUUGUGUUCAGAGGAGGCUCAGUGACCCUGACUUGCAACAUAUCCAACAAAAAUGCAACACAAAUCUCCUGGACCAACGGCAGAUCUGUUUUCCAAUAUUCCGUUGUGCUGAACUGCACAUUUUCAAAUUUCUCAUUUUACAAACUGAAUAUAAAUCAUGAGUUACCUACAGAGCUAACUAUUUUUAGUGCUCAGCCUGAGGAUAAAGGACUUUAUACAUGUGCCAUAACUGGCAAAAAUGGCCUACACAGCAUUACGUGGAAUUUAACUGUGUCUGAGAAACCCACAGAAUCCAUUUCAAAGUAUUUUCUAUCCAUGCUAUCACCUGCAAUUGGAUUCAUUCUAUGUGGCAUCAUGUUGGCUGUUUUCCUCUGCAGAAAAAUUAUGACGAAGAAACGGAAUCAAGGUCCAGACUGCAGUGAGAUUCCUCCUGAGUCAGAGGAGUUGGAGCUCCAUCAACCACAGGGUCACACUGCUCAUUGGAAAAAUAACAAGCGGAGGAGUCAGUAUAUGGAGAACCUGAAUUUAAUCUAUGAUCACUUCUAAGCUGAUGAGCCAUGCAGUUACACAGAGACAUGGACAUUUUCAUUUUCAAAGCAGGAACUGCAUGAGAACACAUCAGAGGAAAUGAAACAGAGCUACUAUAGCCUCUUUAGCUCAAGCAUGCAGGUGUCUGUGAAUGUACGGAGUUUUUCUCUUACACCUCUGAUUUAUCUGUAGCAGCAGCUUUACUUGCAUCCUGAAUCAUGUGUGUAAAACAUCCAUAACUUUGUAGUAUUAUAGUUUACUGUUCAUAUGUGAAAUCAUCCACUCAGUUUCCUGUGCACUGAUCAAUGUGACUGUGAAUCAGAUGUUGCCAUUGCCACCACUUUCAUGUGAACAUGCUCAUAGUUAAGGUAAACCUGGGUUUACUUACCAAGCUGAUAUUUGAUGUUGACCAGCUGAUUUUUUUCCAUGUAAAAAUAAAUCACGAGUUACCUACAACUAUUUUUAAUAACUAUAAUUAUUUUUAGCACUCAGUUUAUGUAUGCAGCAUAACUGAAAA
ensembl:lncRNA